UCUUGUUGAAUAAAAAUAGGUUAAAUUACAGAAAACUACCAGUAAAUACCUUUUUACUUAAUUUUUCUCUUUGGCUUUCAAAAACCUAUAUUUUGCUCCUCUUAAAAUUUCAGAAAUAUUUUCAGGAGGGUAUAACGUUAAUGAAGAAGGCAAAAUGAUCAAAUUAUCCUCAUUUCUUUUAUAAGAAAAAAAAUAUUUUUUUAAUAUAUUUCUAUCAUUUUGAAGGAUAUUUUCGAUAUAAAUUAUAAGAAAUGGAUGGAAUAAUAAUGAAACUCUAAUGAAGGAAUGCUAAAUGCAAUAAAUUAAAAUAUUGAGGGAGUAAAAUAUAAAUUUUUAAAAAUCAUGAAGGGAAAAUAAAAAAUACAAAUAUUUAUAAAACAUUUUCUAUAAUUUAGCUUUGAAAUUAAAAGUA
rnacentral:lncRNA from 1 species